GGGGAUUUAGCUCAGUGGUAGAGCGCUUGCCUAGCAAGCACAAGGCCCUGGGUUCAGCCCCAGCUCCG
rnacentral:tRNA from 1 species